rnacentral:misc_RNA from 1 species
UUAAGUUCAGCGGGUAGUCCUACCUGAUUUGAGGUCAAACAAUCAAAAGUUGUCCACAUUAAAGGGACUGUUAUGAGCUGAACAGACAGAGAGCGUUCAUAAUCUUUGGCGUAGAUAAUUAUCACACCAGUGACAGAUCGCAAACCGUUCCGCUAAUGCAUUUCAGGGGAGCAGACCUUUAUUCAAAGCCUGCAAAAACC